CACCCACCCACCCAGGACCUCACCAGGCCUCGACCACCUUCAUCUCCAAGCGGACAGUUGGCUCAGUCAGGCUGAACCAUGGCACAAGCCGCCAAGCAUCUCCGCAAGAACAAGGAUUUAGAAGCCCAGCUCGAAGCGGAGCGCAAGGAGAAGGAGGAGGAGAAGGCCAAGAAGAGGAACCGCUCGCGGGAUAAAAAGCGCAAGGCCCACGCGGUGCAUCGCUGGCUAAUCGAUCAGGACGAUAGUUUGAGCUCUGAGCUGCCGGAUGGCCAAGGAGUAUGGCACUUUGAUGAAGCAACAGGUGCCAGGGCUGAAGAAAACACCUGUCCCAAAGCCACAACCUGUCUAGCAGUGCUGCAGAUGCAGGUUUAAGCUGUUGUUCUCCAUGCAGC
ensembl:lncRNA